rnacentral:rRNA from 1 species
UACGUAGGGCGCAAGCGUUGUCCGGAAUUAUUGGGCGUAAAGAGCUCGUAGGCGGUCUGUCGCGUCUGCCGUGAAAACCCGAGGCUUAACCUCGGGCUGGCGGUGGAUACGGGCAGACUAGAGGUAGGUAGGGGAGAAUGGAAUUCCCGGUGUAGCGGUGAAAUGCGCAGAUAUCAGGAGGAACACCGGUGGCGAAGGCGGGUCUCUGGGCAACAACUGACGCUGAGGAGCGAAAGCGUGGGGAGCGAACAGG